rnacentral:rRNA from 1 species
GAUGAACGCUGACAGAAUGCUUAACACAUGCAAGUCGAUGGGGAAGUGGUGCUUGCCCCUCGGUAACCAUGGCGGACGGGUGAGUAACGCGUAAGGAACUUGCCUGCGGGACUGGGAUAACAGCAGGCAACUGCUGAUAAUACCGGAUAAGGUCAUUAAUCUGCAUAGCUUAGCGAUGAAAGGAGACGCCUGCGGAGAGCCUUGCGUCCUAUUAGCUAGUGGGAGGGGUAACGGCCCACCAAGGCGAAGAUAGGUAGCCGGCCUGAGAGGGUGGACGGCCAAGAGGGCUAUGGGAGGCAGCAGUUACGCCUACGGGAGGAAGGAGGGGAGAAUAAUGGAGAAUGGGGGCGUGCGUGAUGAAGCAAUUCUGUGUGCACGAAGACGGUUUUCGGAAUGUAAAGUGCUUUCAGCAGGGAAGAAGGAAGUGACGGUACCUGAAGAAGAAGCGACGGCUAAAUACGUG